UGAAGGGUGUCUGACACAAGUUUUGUAUGUUGAAGCCAGAGAUGGGUGACCUAGGAGGUACUGAAAUGAAGGAUGCAUUAUAUUGAUUCUGAUUGCUCAUGUCUACCCAACAAAAUCUCUGCUUAUGCCUUAAUUUUAACACUUUUAAUUUCUGAUCAUAUGCAAAAGAAAGUACUGAGCAGGCAGUCCUUGCAAGUCCCAUUCUAUAGAGCUAUCCCAGCUGGGAACCAGCAUUACCAUGCCCACAUUCACCCGAGCCCAAAUCUCCCCAAGUGACCCCUGGGUCAAACUUACAGUAUCCUGUUAUAUAUAGAAAUGUUAGUUCCUUCCCUUUUAAGCUUAUUUAUUUAUGUAUUUAUUUUUAAAUAACCAUCCAGCCUGUCCAGUCCCCAUGGGGAUGUAACUCAGGGGCAGUUACAUCUCACCGCUGAAUAGUUUUUGGGUGCUGGAACCAGGGGGACAGCAGCCAGGAUGGGGGCUGUGAUUGCUCCAUGUGCUCUGCCUCGGGUCAUGGGAGGUGAUCAGGGAGCAGAGGGAAGGAGGCGGGCUUUGGCUUGAUCUAGUAUCUUGGUAUCUUGCCUGUGUUAGAGAAUCAAUCAAAACUCAUAUAAAGGAGCUGAGGAGAUGGAGGAUUGUGUUUCUUGAUUCUUGAUGCUUGUGUUUCAUGGGUUCAAUACCUACAAAUACUCUGUUUGGUGAUUUGUUACAGAAGCCUCCAAAUUCUCAAGCUGUUUAAGGUUUUGCAUGUUUUCCUCUUACUCAUGUUGCCUUUUCUGUCUGACAUUCUGUUUUUCAGUAUUUCUGUUACAGCGUUCCAGACAUCGCCCAGAAAUUGUAGUGUCUCGCUCAGGAGUUAUGUAAGAGUUGCAGUAGAUAUUCCUGAUAUUUCCCACUGUUUACAAAGCAGACUUGGUUUCUCUUAAUGUUUUCCAGUAUACAACUGUCAGUUUACAAAUGAGCACUGGCUGAGUCAUUCGCGCCGAGCCAUCUUCUUUCCACUCAUUGUUUCCUUGUCCCAAAUAACAGGGAGCACAUGGCAAGAACAACAAAUAAUACCAGAAAGGGUAGAUAAUCUCCUCUUGUAGAAGGGUGUUGUUUUGACUUGAUGUAAAAGGUUAUGAGGGUUUUGCAAUGCUAAUGAUGAAUCUUCUGAUUUAGAAGUGUUGAUGCUGGAUUUUUUUUUUCCUUUUGCUGUUUAUUUUUCUUGAAAUUUCCAAUGCUUUAUUACUAGGAGUUAAAUCUUUCACCACAGCAAACUAACAUGGGCUUCCCUAACUUUAUACUGAAUUACACGUGCUGAGGCUCUGUAUCUGCACCUUUGUAUUUCAAAGGGGUGCCAGCACUUAGAAGAGUUUAAAACUGGCAAAAAGCUAUUUUGGUUUUGCUUCCUGCUUCCUAAACUCAAAGUGUGAUAAAGCCUACUCAGACAUUAGAACAUUAUUUUUCUAAAUCUUAUGGUUGUAGUUGGAUAAGCAGGCAAUCAAUCUGACUGGAUACUGAGUAGUGAAGUCCCAUCACUGCAGCAUCAAUGUUAAUGGCAAGAACGGUAACCCAUAAGGGUUAGUAGAACUCUGGACUUGAUAAACAUUUUUAUGAGACUCAUAAGGCUUGAAAAAUCUGUGUGAGCUCCUCAUCAGUGCUAGAUGAAAACCCUCCAUGCAAAAUACGUCCUAUGUCAGCAGGAAAGGUUUUGAAACAUAGCAGUAUUACCCCUCCCAUGGCCUCUGGUGCUAUCCAGAGGCUCCUGGAUGGAUGUGAGCCCCAUGUCCAUCCAUAACAUCUCACAGGGCUGAUGGGAGGCUGCUCAGUGAGACACAAAGCUGUGUUUUGCAGCAGCAGGGGCAGGGAGUGCAGGAAGGGCAGCUGGGAGGAACGAGGUGAGGGGCUGAGAAGGGGCUGCCAGCGGGUGGGUGCUGCUGGGCAGGUGGAUGUGGCUGCGGUCACCCCGGGUGAGGAUGACUCCCACAGGGUUACAUCCCUCAGCACAUCCCUUGCCAGUCCUGGCACAGCCCUUUUAUAAUGCAUGUGCUUGGAAAAGGGGCCAGGUGACACACAGGGGAAGAAAUGCAGGUUAUGUGGAGUAUUCUCUUUGUGUCAGUAUUUCCUAGCACAUGCUAUAAAGGCAAGUGGAUCUGUUUCUCACAUAUCACAGCUCUCCCUCUAAAAGUUCGAAGUGGUGAACAAUAAUAUUCUAAUGUAAUGCUUUCACAGGCUAUGAAAGAAGCUUCAGUCCAAAAAGUCAGAGUGUUAAUCUGCUUUCAGGGAGCUCUCCUCUCAAUUCUUGUGCAUCUCUAAUAGGCAUGGUGAUGAUGCAGUACCAAAAACACUACUCUGCCCUUUUGGUGAUGGAUGUUAACAGUCAUAAAUAAUCACUGAGUCCAUGAUAAGUAAGAGGAGCUUAUUCCUUUGCAGUCCCAAUAAUGUGUCACACCAUGAUCCAUCACUGUGUCUCAUGAAAAUGAAUUGGUCUUUUAUCUUUUCAUUCCUGCACAUUAACAGCCAUUUGCAUUUUCCUAAGAUGAAUUUUAUAAAAUGUUCAGUGACAGAUUCUUUACAGAAAUGGCUUCAGAUUUUCCAAGGCACAAUGGAGGAGGACAGAUGUCACACAGAGGGCUUCACUCACUCUGUGAUGCCUUCUGGCUUGCAGAGAACUGAAAAUGUUUUUAUUCUAAAGGCUCUGCUUUGAAAGUGCCAUUUCACCUCCUGAGUUACUAGUGAAAUAACUACACUUAUGCCAAAUUGAGACACACUAAAAAGUGACAUGGAACAGCUGUGUUUGACAUUAUGGCUUCCACUUACAAAAGGGUUUCCUUCUCAAUGCCUAGGAAUUUGCAUGGAAUAAACAAAGUUGUGAUUUCGCAUGUUUGAGAGCUCCAGCAUCCUUGCCUGAUACACAUUUUCUCACAGUCUGCUCAGAGCCUGCACCUAAAUCCUAGAUAGUAAUGUAUAUAGCAAUUCAUGUUAUUCUCUCAAUAUUUGUUUCUAAGUUGUGGCCAAACAUUUGAACAUAAAUGAAAACAGUUCAGGCUCACUGAACAUUCACUCCACCUGACUGCUCUGUUUAGUUAGCAUUUGGUUUUGUUUUGGUUCAUUUCAAGAACCUUUGGAUGACUUAAUAUGUGUUGUUCUUUUUUAUUAUUAUUAUUAUUAUUUAAUCAGAAGAAAUAAACUAGCUCCAGAUUAGAUUUGCACAAAUGUAACAGUAUUAAUGAAGUGUUUCCUUCUACUGUGACAAAAGUGAGCUCGGCGUCAAGCUCAGCACUUUCCAAGUCAUACAAAACUGCCGUAGGGAGGGAAAGGAACCUGCACUCCGAGCCCUGUGCCAUUAACAGCAUUGCAUUAGGAGCCCUUUGCAUAACCAAAUAGUGCUUUGGGUCACUUCAGUGUCAUAUCCAGUUGACUAACUUCACUUUUCCUUACACACACACACUUCAUUCUCUUCUCUUUUGUAUCUAAGCAGGACUGUUAAAUGGGACAUUUUAUCACAGAAAUGAUUUGCAAAAGACCUUUAAUGUUUUGUUAUCUAUUUUACAUGUCCCUCACCUCAUUACUGACCAUUUUUAUGCUGCUUCAAAUUAUUUCCCCUCACACAUGUCCAGAACUUCCUAUGAACUUUUGGUUUCUGAGCCCAUCAGUGACACACUCGACUGAAACACCCUGGACACUUCCAUCCCAUAGAAUCAGCCUUAGUGUGCUGCACACAGUUUCUGGAAGGUGAUAAAAUUGCAUUACCUAAUCUUUUCUCACAAUUCAUGUUGUAAUUUUCUCUGAGGUCCAGCCUUCACUCCAGCACUGCCACCUUGUAACAAUCUGUUUUUCCAUUAUUCCCAAACAGAAGCAAUAGCAACAUUUGAGUGUAGUGUUAGGUAAUAUAUCAGGCAAUGAAAAAUUGGGCCUGUGCUGAUCACUUCUGUCUCAGUGUUAGCAGUAUGUCUACACUUUUAUGGCUUCACCUAACACCAGAUUGUUUGUACUGAGAUAUGGUCAGAGUGUCUGUUAGAGAUCCACUAGGACUUCAGCUGAAAUAAUGCCAGCUCUGCCCUGCUCUCAGGUAUUUUGGCCUCCAGAGUUGUGGAAGCCAGCCAGGAGAAAAGGGCAGCCAAGGUACCUUAGCUGUGUCAUGGCUAGCUCUGAUACAGGAUCAGAAGAGGAGGCAGGAAUUGCUUUCAUGUUUUCUGACCUGCAUUCCAGCUGUUGGGACGAUGGGAGUAGUGAGCCAGCACUGGGUACCAGUUGCUUAGGAGCAGUCAGGAUCUCUAAUUCACUUUGAUUAAAUGGGGGCUUGGAUUACGUGACUGUCGUGCAGCGAUUACUCGCUGCAGUUUAUCAUCCGUAACCGAAUUUGUGAUUUCAUGUUGAAUGGCUUUCAAUUUACUUUUCUCCUUAACACUUAUGAACUCAUUCACUGAUGAUUACCAGUGUUUCCUGGCUCCUUGCUAGCUUUGGAGGAGAUGAAGUAGUUCAGUCUAAUGAAGCAGAGACUUUUAGCUGGAAAAAUUAUGCUACUCUUUUUGCAUUGGGUUACUCUUCCCUUUAACUGCUUUCUUAAAGAUGGUCUGUAGAGUGAGAAGCAUUAACCCCAGAUCUGGCAAAGAAGGCAGCACAUACAACCUAUGUCUUCAUUAGAAAAAACCUCAUUGAAGAUUAGAAAUCAAAGCUGAACAUCUAGUCAGCCUAGUGGGCAGACCCCACCUCCACGCUAUUCAGUGUAUUGAGCCCAUGUGGAGUGCUCUAUUUGAUACAUAAAAAAUGGAAGCCUUUUUCAAGUUCUGAACAUGGUCUGUAAAUCUGCAGCUGAGCAUCUUUCUUUUACAAAUGGGGGAAAUUUUGCCUGAAAGUUGUUGGAUUCGCUUCAUAAUCAAGUUGUUUUCAUUUAAGAUAUCUUUGUGUGUUGAAAACCUUGUCUGAAGGUUAUUUCAUUGUGUUCUCCCUGGUCAAAUGUUAUUCACAAUAGAGCGGAUGUCAUGACCCAGUAAUCCUAUUUAAUGAAAUUCAGUGUCUUUUGACUAGUUAGCAAAGGGAGGUACCAUUCAAACAAUUACCAGACCUUAGCAUUCAACUUGUGACUAAUAUCAAAUCAGAAAUGACUCUUGCUGUUCUCCUUCUGUUCACCUUGAGUGAACGUUAAAUUAAUUAAUAACUCUAGACAUCAUCAAAGUCCUGAGAAUCUGCACCCACACUGUAAUAGAAGCAAAAAAAACCAUUUCUGAUGGGUACAUUUAAUUCACCUCAUAAAGCAUUCUGCUAAUUUCCUUAUCUCUUGAACUAUUUCAGGCUGAUAGUGUUGCACAUUGUUAGAAAAAUCUCCAAGCAUUUUCAGACAGGGAAGAUUAUUAACCUCUGUGCACUGACAGCAGAACAAAAUGGGUACUUCAAGGCAUCCUGCCUUAAACACACUGAAAAGUCAAAAGACAAGGCAUCCUGCACUUCCCUUUCUCAAGGAUCAGCUACAGCUUCUGUGUGUUUCCAAACAGCUGCAACAUUUGUCCAAGGAAGAUCCAGUAAUCUGUUUAGUGUCUGCAUAUUUGUCUGAAGAGUGUUUAACAGCCUUUUGAGAUGAUCAGCACUUUUUAAAAGCAGUUUGCUAUGGGCUGAGUCCAUUUCCAUGUCUGACACUGCAGAGACUUCAAACACACCUCUAGUGUAUUUUAAACAUAAAUAAACAGUGAGCAUAUAUACAGAUAUUCAUGAAUACCCUGAAAUCUGUUAUCACCACUGUGAUAAAAGGCCAGAGAUGCUUCUCAGUAGUGGCUGGAGGAAAAGGAGAGGGAAAGAGUACUUAGUGCUGACCUGACUUUUCUCUGAAAUAAGCAAUAAAGCUUCUUUGAGUUUCAAUGCACAGAGGUCACAGGUUAGCAAUCUUGAAAAUUUUCUUCCCCGAAGUCUAUAAAUAUCUGGAAAUGCCACUGAACUGUUCUUCGCUAGCUUAUGAUGCUGUAUAACUGCCUUUUGCGUUUACAUGGAGAAUUUCAGUACAAACUUCAUGGCUGUUUGCUUCUUCAGAGCUGAGACUCUCUGAGGAGAGGCCAACCAUCUGUGUAGCUGGUGCUCCCUGACAAAGCUGAACAUGAUCCACUGCUCCUGGUGUCACACACAGUCCGGAUCACACCCCUUGCACAAGCGUGGGGGAGAGGCUGGGAAAGCCAAGUGACAGCAGAGGUGAACCAGAGGGCUGAGGGAAGGGCAGACCUUCAUUUACAGUGUGGGGCUGGAGUGGCACACCUGUGACACGUGGCUCUGCAAAAUUCCUGGGGGUUUCGGGAUACACCAAGGUGAAGCAGAAAGCCUCAUAGCAAAUACGGAUUCUUAGCAUCCUGGAAUUAGUUGUUUGUGGUUUUGUGUUUUGUUUUUUCUCUAGAAUGCCCAACAGAAAUACCAUGAGAAGCAAUGACAUGUGAAACCACAAAAGGUAGCUGCAACGGCUGAGCUCUGUGGUUAUUAAUUGUAGGGGUAAGAGCAGGGGAGAAAAAUCUCAGUGCAGUGAAAUGUUCUUUUAAAGGCUAAAUAAAUCCAAAUGUGAAUGAACUAAACAUUUAAAGGAGGCCUUCAGACAAAUUAGUGCCUUGUGCCCUAUGGGUUAUGUAAAUGCCAUCUAGAUUUUACAACUGUAACCGACCUUACCAUUUUGUGCUACUGCAUGAAUACAGCACAUGUUGAAACUGAUGAAAUAAUUGUUUGUGUACAUAAGUAAACCACCCUGGAACAACUAAAACUUGCAAUUAAUGAAGAUAUUAAAGGCAGACACGACAACAUUCAAAACAAACCAAUAAAUAAUUUAUAUUUUUAAUUACUAUAGUUAUUUAUAAUUAUAGUUAUUUAUGGUUACCAAGUAUUAGUAAUGGUUUGCUACAAGCUCCAAACCACUUACUAUUAAGCCAGUCUGUAUCACUGUUUUAACUGCUUUAAGCAAAGGCAGCCCCACAAGCAGAGGAAAGUAUCUCAACUAUGUGACCAGCUGGCAAACAUUUUUUUUCCUUCUUUUGAGGAGAAAAGUAGAAUAUCAUUAAUUAAAAAUAUUUAAGAUACCAUUCAGCAUUUGUUUGGGUCGGUUGUUAUAACAGCAUAGUGUGGCUGAUGAAUCUUUGGAGUAAAUAAACAGUUUGCUUCUGUAGAGAUGCAUUUCUGCACUGCUCUUCUCCUCUUCCUACUCUCUGGACUGCACUGACAGAUCUAAUCAGAAAGAAGGCAAACCCUAGAAAUCCACUCGCUUUGGAUCUGGCUUCUGACAGUCCUUGAUGAAUAACAGUGCUUCCUGGGAGCUUUCCAAAGCCAAUCAGUUGCUACUUUGGAAUUCAGGACAGUAGCUGGACACAAGCCAGUUCUUCUAUUAAAUAUCAACAGCAUCACCACCUGAAGCUACCACGAACAGGACAGAACCAAGCGGAAAAUGCCACUAACUCAUCUAUGGAUUUUUGCCCUGCACUACUUUUGGCUGGCUGCAGUAAUCACAUAAUCAUCCAUUCAAAUCAGGAUUGGCAAGAAAGAAACACCAAGUAAAAUGCAGCUAGGAGUAGAGAGGAAUGCAAAGUUCCAAGUGACUGUCCUCCUUUUGAGGGUUGUUGCUGGUUUUCUAUUUUACUCCUGAAAUAACUUUACUGUUGCUUUGAAACCUCUGAUGCUGUUACAGCUGAGGUAUUAAUCAGCAGUUUACUUGUUAAUGUCCUGGUUUGGGCCAACAGCGGAAACACUGGCUGGCUUGUUUCAUACAAAGGUUCUAAAGAAAGCGCUCUGGGCUGGUGAGCACAGAGCACUUUAUUUUGCUUUUGGAGAGCAGUGAAGAUUUCCUUUUGAUGUACAACUGUUUCCAUCACAGAUUUGAUACAGUGCCUCCAGCAUACAAAACUGCAUCCAUGAUUAUGGAAAUAAAGGCAUAGGAUGGGAAUAAGGCUCCUGCAACACAUUUGAAUGAGUUAAUUACAAUCCUUCCACCACCACCAUUGUCCAGUAGCAAAACCCUGCAUUUGCUGUUUAACUGGACACAGAUUUAGGGCAAUAAAUAUUGAGUUGUCAUAGGAGAUUCUGUAUGAUUUGCAGAAAAUCAUACAGAAAAAAGUUUUAUUCUUUCCUUCUCUUUUCUUCACACCACCUACAGUAAAGAAGUAAUGGAACAAUUACUUUCAUUCCUCUACUGUUUUGUCACAUCUUGCAAAACAAAGCAAAGUGAAUGAAGAUCUCAUGCUAGAGCACAUUUCCUGCUGCCUUUCAUCAAUGCUAUCAGACAUUGCCCUCCACACACUGCUCACCACCAUUUCUCAGGGUGAAGAACCCCAGCCUUUCCAUCCAAAGCUGGUGCUUCAUAUAUAUACUCUAAGGACUUAAGACAUUCAGCUGUUUCUCCUCCCUGCUGCCAGAGGAGAGGCAGGGACUGCCUGCACAGCACAGCCCUCACCAGUUCCCAAGGGUCUUCACAAGACCUCUAUAACAGCAGCCACUUCCAAAAUGAGAGCAAGCAGUUGUUUGCAGAAGCAGGGGCUUCACACCAGAAGGACUUGUCGUAAAAAACGCCUGAUGUCUGACAGCCAGGCAGAGCUUUCCGAGCCUGCACCCCGCAGUGUGCAGCCAGCCUUCUCUGGAGGAAGCACAGGGCUGCCUGGGGGACAUCGGAGCCUGCUGAGAGCUGCUGGCAUGCCUAGGAUAUUUCUGAGACAGACCAGUGUCUAGGGAAAAAAACUCUGCCUGCUGUAGUGUUUUGCUGAAUUUUCUGCUUCUCAUGUUAGGAAAUAUCUGAGACUAUGGAGUCUCCAUCCAGACAAACAUUAGGAGCAAAAUACCCAGACAUAGCUGACAAAAGUCAAGCCCAAGCAUUUAAACAGGAGCACCUCCUAAAGCACCAGUGGCUGCCCUUACGCUACUGCAGCUGCAUAUUCAGAAAUCAGACAUUUCAGACGUAGGUGAUGAACAAAGGGCUCAAAAGUUUAAGGGUCACUGGGGAAGGGAGACAGGCCGAGAGAUCUCUGAAGGCACUCACAUGUCAAAGUUAAAGACGGAAAAAUGCUACUCAUCCAGGUCACGAGUCUUGGAAUAACUCAGACUUAUUAUCUUACUUUUACAGUGUCUGCAGAUGUUAUUCUGACUACUUGGUUCUGUUUUGUUGUUGUUGUUGUUUUGUCUUUAAGAAAUCAGAUCACAUCUACUGUAAGAAUUUAAAUUAUCUAUGUGUCUAAUUUGUAUUUCUUGUAUGUGUUUUGCUGCGAAAAAUGGAUUACGCAUUCAAGACUCACCAGAGUGGCUGCAGAGUUUAAUGAAGGCACAACUGAUAUGCUGGCUGCAAAUGCCAGCUGGUUUCCACACUAAAAGAUGAGCUGAGAUGAAAAAAAUGCUUUUCCUGAGCUCAUACCUAUCUUGAAGUGGUUGCGAAAAGGCAGCUCCAACAUGGUCUUAGGAAAGUGGGCAGAUGACUAUCAAAGACAUUCUCCUGUUCUGAUUAGUGCCUGUUAGUAAAGGACAAUUAAAAAUAUGAAAUAUAACCUAAAUAAUAUUUGCACACAAAAAUUAUUUCAGACUUGUGGACAGACAGUGGGAUGAAAUAGGCUUUGUAUGCAGAUGUCACAAAGGUACAACAGAAAUGCUCUGAAAGGUGGGUGACCCUUACGGUAUGUAGGUCAUUUAUUGAAUGGGAUUAAAAACUGAACUGGACUCAAAGAUAAAAUAGGGAAAAAAUGGGCAAGAGAGGGCAGAAAUCCAACAGAAGCAAACCGUUGAUACAUUAUGUAUCACUGACAGCAGUGGAGGAGCUGCUAAACUCCUAACCUGGGGUUUAAUGGUUCCUAUUUAUCACGCAAGACACAGGUGGUCUGAGCGAGGAAGAGGUGCAUUAAUAAUUCUGACGACAUUCAAGAGAGCACACAAUUGCUGAAAGUUUGCAAAGAAAGCCCCUGAAAAGGCAAUAUGCAGGGAUGGGGGCUGUAACUAUGCACCGACCCUCAUCCAGCUCCUGGGGAUGCUCAGGUCCUGGCUGGAGGCAGAGCAGGACUGGGAGCCCCCGGCACAGCCCUGGAGUGCAAGGACCUCCAGCUGGCACCCUCACGCUGCUCUGGCCUUUGUGGGGCAGCUAACCCAAGAGGAAGAAGAAAACUGCGUGCUUGCGUCCUCUCCUCCAGCAUUUACCAUCCCCCUCUAGGUCAUUUCAGCCCCAAAUGUCAAACUAAUUAGGGAAAAACAAAAUCUGAUUAGAAUCCCCAAGCUGAGAUGGCAGCCUCAUCAAAUGUCUGGUGAUUCUUUCUCUGUCAGUAAUUUGUUUUCUUUUUUGUUCUUGUUUUUCCUCUCUUUGGUUUGAGCUGUCUUCAGGAGGGAAAACAAGCCCUCUCUGAGGAUGUUUCUGAGGUAUUACCUUUAAUGGGCCAGUAUUCACAUUUGUGUGUUUGUUUACAUUAAAAGGAACCUGAUCUUGUUAAAAAAGCUAAUUUAUGCUGGCGAUAAAAUUCUAACUAAACCCCUCAACUCUUCGGAUAUUUUCCUAACUAAACCUCUUAACUCUUUGGAUAUUUAUCUACCAUUGUGUUGAAUUCAGUAUGUAAUUUCUGCAGUGUGCCACCAGUGAUGUAUCCAGGUUGUAAUCUCUGCAGGAGAAGCUUCUGUAUGUUUUCACCGAUGAUACUGAAGGCCAUCAGAAAAUAACAGAUAAUCUUACUAAUAAUGCCAGCACCAGUUUCUUGAUUGUAUCAUGAUCCAUUCCUAGGAAAUUCUUAGGUAACUACAUGUAACUUUUUUUUUUUUUUCUUUUUCACUUAUGUAGAAAUAUCCAUCCUGCAGGCUCUAAUCCAGUUAAAUGUUUUGGUGGUGGUGGUGGUGGUGUUUUCCCAGUCAUAGAGGCAUCCAAAGAAUAAGACAGUCUAUCCAGGAAUGUAUGUACAUUAUAAGCACUGCACAUUCACGUCUUUGUUCCUAACUUUUUCAGAAAGAUGUUUUUGAUAAGAAUUUAAGGCAGCAGCAAUCUAAUUUACACACAUAGCUAAGCUGCAGAAAUAAUGGCCGUGUAGUCAGCUAUGCAGCAUGACAGUUUCCUGUCUCACAAAAUUCAUCCAUCUCACCUGCUGUAAAUGCUUAAAUCCCCAUCUCUCAAAAACAUUCCUGACUUGGUGUCGCUGAUCUGUUGUAUACAAAGGCUCACUGUCUGCCUUCAUGGCCCAUCAAAUGUGAAGGUACCUUACCAGUACAACUGAAAAGAAAACAUACAAACAAACAAACACAGCACCAUACCAGUGCUGCGUAAUCCUGCUCUAGCAGGUUCCUCAAUGGGACGGGUGUGAAAUGACCAUGGAACUGGAGGCUAUUGGCAUCGAGAGCAUUCAGCUAAAUGAAUAAAAUCAUCAUCUCUCAUUAAGUCAGCAGUAUUUGCAAUAAAUAAUACUGAUAGAGACCAAAAUGUCAGGGAUAUGCUACAUUUUGCUAUAUUUUCUAUGCAAUGCUUGAAAAAAAUAUUGUUUCAAUUCAAUAAUGGUUCACUGAGGAACGUAUUGGAUAUGUUGAUCUGUGCGACAAUAGAUUGAGCUGCAGUCAUCUGAUUUCUUUGUGCACAUUUCAGAAGUGCAUCAGCAGCUGAAGGGUAUAUGGAAUUUGUAGGUGACUGCCUUGGUACCAGCAGUAAUGUGGGAUAUAUUGUCUGCUGUCGUUCAUUAAGCCACACAUUUGAACAAUAGAAAGUAACUGAAGACAAUUAGUGGAAUAAAAUACAUAAAGGGAUAUUAAAAUAGUUUUGAGGCAGAAAGGCAGUAUGUCAGUGUUAGUGAGAAGACUGCUAGGAAAACAGAGCAAAUAUAAUUAAGCAUCACUUUGCUGUCAAGAGUUCAAGUUCAGCUAGCAGAAGGAAUUGUUAUGACAAAUUGUGAUGAGGACACAUCUGGGAAUGGUGCUGGAAAACAGGACCUAGCGCCAAUUACAGUCUGUGCCAUGAGGUAAUGUCAGACAUCACUGCAGCUUCUUGUGGUGGUCUCCAAAACAUUCUAGUAAAAUGCCCUCUGUGAGUCCAACAGCAUUGUUCAGCAUCAGUGCAGGCUAGCAAGUGGGGCCUCUGUCUCUCCAAGCACCUCAAAAUAUUUUAAAAAUCUGUCUUCCCCUUGUCUUGGAAGAAAACUCUCCAUCAAAUAAUUUUUGGAUACACACAUAAAAUGCGCAUUACAUCUUUCCAGUUGUGACCUUGCUUUUAUCAUAAGAAAAUGAGUUAUGUGAGCCCUGACCCAUCAGUUGUUUUAAUCAUGCCCUCUGUUUUCCACAUUAUCAUCUAUAAGGGAUCAGGUUCCUAGGAUACCAUACAUAUAUUUAUUUAAUCAUUAAACUAUCACAGAAAACCUAAUGCUGGCUGUGCUGUGCAGCCACAAUACUGGGUGUGGAAUGACAUUAAAAGACAUACAGGGGCAUAACCGCAUGCUGUUCUAUUUACAGCAGUUAGAGUCAUUGAGCUUUAUUGGUAAAGAUAAAACAGAACUGUUCAUAAAUGAUCCUGCUAAAUCAGGUAAUGAGCAGCAGAGUCAAAGUGAAGCGUCUAUUUCCUAAAGUCAGCUGAAGUCCCGCAGGUGGGCACCACAGGCACUGAUACCAGCAGCAGGCAGGGCUCGUCACCCCUGAGAUGCCUCUUCAUGGCUGCCAGGGGCUCUUCAACUGCAUAGGUGCGUCUGGGGCUUUCGUCUCACAUCUGUCCCUGCACUGGCAGAAUGAUUUUGCAAGGUUUGGAAGCCUCCAUGUAACCUUAUCCACAAAGUGGGCUACCAGCUUCCUCAAAUUUGUAUAUUGUACCCCUUGAUAUUUAGGAGUAGUCAACUGGAGACACUUUUGUUAAGCAGAGAGUUUGACAUGCCCAGUACCACACAGCUCCUUGACACAGCCCUACGUGGUAGUACAAAACCAUGGGUUAUGCUUGGAAAACAUUAAUCCAAAGAGAAAAGACACGCCGCUGAGCGCCACAGGAGUACAGCAAUCCUGUCUGCCUGUUCUCACACCCUGCCUCUCAGCUGUCCCAGCUCCGUGGCUGCAGCUGAGGAAGAGCAGGCUGAGGCAGCUGCAAAGCUUCAGCACGCACACAAAUUGCCAGUGCUCCUUUCCCCUUCUGUUUAACUGCAGGAUGCAUAGUUGCGUGGUGAGAAAGUGGGAUGUUAAUCUAGCUACUUUUGCAGAAGAAUGAGUGCAGUUUUCCAACAAACAUUUUAACAUCCACAUUUUUUUAGCCACCACAUGACCACUACUCAGGCAUGAGUCUCAGAAAUAUUAUUUCACUAAUGUUUAAGAGCAAAGCCAGAGGGACCACAGACACUGUGUUUUUCAGGAGUGCACACAGCAUAAGGAAACACGCAGCUGUGAUGCAGAAGACAACUCCACUGUGCUUCUGGGCAGGGCUGAAGGAUGCAGGGGCUCUGCCGAGUUAUACAUAACAGUUGUUGCCACUAGAUCUACUUCAGCUUAGAUGGUGGAAGCAAGCAGCACAUCCUGAAGCAUUGCUGUCCUUGGCAGUCAGUGCAGAACUGCAACAUAGGAGAGAUGAUGGUGACCUCUUCUUUGCAACAUGGGAAGGCCGAACUGGGACUCGUGGGAGAGAAAUUCUGUGACAAAGCUGAAAGUCACACCUGCACCUCUGAAGUCUCACCCUGCAGACUGAAGCAGCCAACCUCACUGUCAGAUUUCCACGAGCAAGGGAAGCCACAGCCCCACGGUAGGGCAGCUGAUGGUUUUGAUGCUCACACCUCUUCAUUUAUUUUCAAAAACUGAAAUUGCCAUCAGGAAGAAAUUAGCAUUGAGAAGAGAAAAAGGAUCAUGUGCCCUCCAUCACCUUCUAGAACCUGAAUAAAACUUUUUUUUUUCCUUUUUAAACUACCCUGUCAUUAGUGUUCCCUGUAGAUUUAAUGCUAAAUGUUUAUUAAAUUCAGUGAUCAGGACCUGAUCCUUAAACCAGACACAAACAUCCCUUUUAUUUAUACAAGACCUUGAAUAACAUUAGCCAAAUUCCCUGUUUUCUGAUAUAAUUCAGCUGACUUAGUAGGAGUCACCCUUUAUAGCAACAUCAAUGAGAGAAGAGCCAGGUUCAACACUUAUUUUCCAUCCACACCAGAAGUUAACUCACAGCUUUAUUCCCUAAAUCUGCUGAAAGCGUUGUUGAUGGCAGUACAUGAACAAAGGCUCCUUCACUUGCUGUGUUGUGUACGUUGUUGUUGUUAAACAAACAUGCCCAUGUUAACUUCAGCCUCAUGGUAAACACAAGAAAAACAUUCAUCCUGGGAUCUGGAAUAUCGGGCAGAUACUCGUUAAAAAAGGGACGUGUUUUAACCAUAAAUAAAUAAAUAAUAACAGUAAUAAUAAUAAUAAUUAAUAAUAAUAAUUAAUAAUAAUAAUAAAAACACCACUCCAAAACCAAAAAGAAAAAACAAACACCACUGGAAACCCGGGGUACAUAAAUACCCACGAUUAUAAACCUUAAAAAAAGAAAAUACACUUAAUAUGUCCUGCCUGGUA